UCCACACUUGACUACCUGUAGUUAAUCAUUAAUCUCUUGCCAUUUCUGUUUUUACUAUGUACACAUGUAAACACUGAUGCCGUCAGCAGGAUUACAUCCCUGCCACCAGAUACAAAACCUGUUACUUCUUAACUCUGAAACAAGUUUGCCAAACUGACGACACUGUACCCGACCUUAGCAGUCUUUUCAUCAUAUGAACCUUUAAAUAACUGUGAAGAUGAUCCUUGUGUUGUUCCUGCUGUGUUCAGGAUUAUCUCUCUUUACGUUUGGAUCAAACCGUCUACGUGUUUUCAAUACUGUUGGAAAAAAGCUACAGUGGGAUAAAGCAUUGAAUAUUUGCAAAGGGGGAAAUGAAUCACUUGUAACUCUGUACGAUGAAGAGGAUGCAAAUUUCAUGAACAAAGCGAUGGACAAAAGUCAGGGCUCUCACUGGCUUGGUCUGCACAAAGGACGAAAUAUCACAUGGUCAGACGGUGUCUCUGUCACAUUCAAUAAUUCCUAUGUGACUGGAACAUACACUUCUCAGACAUGCGUGGCUAUUGACAACAACGAGUGGACAAGUUUUAAUUGUUCAGAGAGAAAACCUUUCAUGUGCAACAAGGAUGGUAAUUAUACACUGUUUGAAGACAAGAAGAACUGGUGUCAGGCUCUACAAUACUGCAGAAAGUCAGUCUUGGCUGACUUGGUCAGCAUCAGUGAUAAAUCACAAAAUACGGAAGUGAUUAGAAAGGGAAACAAUGCAAGCUUUUGGAUUGGACUCAUGCAUGAUGAAUGGGAGUGGGUGGACAAAAGUUGCUCUUUAUACCGGAAAUGGGAAAACAA